rnacentral:rRNA from 1 species
AACGAACGCUGGCGGCAGGCUUAACACAUGCAAGUCGAACGCCCCGCAAGGGGAGUGGCAGACGGGUGAGUAACACGUGGGAACGUACCCUAAGGUUCGGAAUAUUCUCGGGAAACUGAGAGCAAUACCGAAUGUGUCCGCAAGGAGAAAGAUUUAUCGCCUUAGGAUCGGCCCGCGUCGGAUUAGCUAGUUGGUGGGGUAAAAGCCUACCAAGGCGACGAUCCGUAGCUGGUCUGAGAGGACGACCAGCCACACUGGGACUGAGACACGGCCCAGACUCCUACGGGAGGCAGCAGUGGGGAAUCUUGGACAAUGGGCGCAAGCCUGAUCCAGCCAUGCCGCGUGGAUGAUGAAGGCCCUAGGGUUGUAAAAUCCUUUCGUUGGGGACGAUAAUGACGGUACCCAAAGAAGAAGCUCCGGCUAACUUCGUGCCAGCCGCCGCUGUAAAAC